AAGGGACAGAAACCGCUGAGUCCCGCUCCACCAACCUGGGACAAACCAGCUUAAAGGCGCUGUUCAGGAAGACUCAGCUCUCUCCGCUGGGAUCCUCCACUGGGCUCUGGAGUUCAGAGGUUCAAGGUUAAAGUGAAAAGAAGGCUGAGCAUGGAGACAACAGGAGACUUCAAGUCCCACUUGACAGUUCCUGGCUAAGUGAUCCUAAACAAGCCUCUUAACCUCUCUGAGACUCAGUAUGCCCAUCUAUGCAAUGAGAAUUUGUAACAAUAAAAUCAAAAAGCCUCCUCUGUCA